UACGAAGGGUGCAAACGUUGCUCGGAAUUAUUGGGCGUAAAGCGCGCGCAGGCGGCCUUGUAAGUCUGUUGUUUAAACUUGGGGCUCAACCCCAAGUCGCAAUGGAAACUGCAAAGCUUGAGUGCAGAAGAGGAAAGUGGAAUUCCACGUGUAGCGGUGAAAUGCGUAGAGAUGUGGAGGAACACCAGUGGCGAAGGCGACUUCUGGGCUGAUAACUGACGCUGAGGCGACGAAAGCGUGGGGAGCAAACAGG
rnacentral:rRNA from 1 species